AGUUGGUCUUUGUUUUGUCUGUCGGAUUUGGUCCAAAUUUAGCCCAAAAAUAGAUGUGAAAUAACAGUGAAAUUCUGCGUGACUUCCACGUGCUGUAAUGUGCGCGCGCGCAGAACUGGAGCGGAGGACGUCACCAUGGAAACGAGGCAGCAGCCCAACCGUCAAGCAGCUGAUCGCUGACACUCAAUGUGGUUUCACUUUUUUUUUUAGGUAAGUUUAGUCUAUUAAAUUACACAAAUAGUACAUUAAAGUGUUCCUGACACUUUAUUUCAUGUAAAUUAUACGCUUUCGUUUAAUAUUUACUUUAUAGAAAUGGUUUAGCGUCGUCAGAAAAAGUCCGUUAGCAUCUCAAAGGUAAGGCUAACUACAAGAGGUAACGAUAGACAUGAGCUCUUAUUUAUUAAGUUUGGGCUUUUAAUGUGAUCUUGUGUGUAGAUGCUCUCUCUCUCUCUCUCUCUCUGUCUCUCUCUCUCUCCAUAUAUAUCAAUGGAUGAAUGGAAGUAACUUAACCGAAUUAAUUUAACCCUAAAAGUAUGCACUGUUUAAUCCUAAAAUGUGCACUAACGUAACCGGAUAACGUUACAUCACUUACAUAGAGCGUGAAAAUGGGCUGAAACCUUCAGGUUUUGAUCUUUCAUGGUAAAACUUGUUCUGUGAUUUCAGAAGUGCCAGAAAACCUCUAUGACACAGGAGAUGUUCCUGAUUUUAACAUUUCUGAAGGGAGCUGCUGACAGAGAGGAUGAAAACAUACACAUUUUGAUGUCUACGCUGUAGGAGCAUUACUAAAUAAUGCUUAUGUUCCUAGGUUCUUCCAUGCUGAUGGCUGUGCUCUAGAGUCAUAUCUCCUGUCGAAGAACAUUUUUAGACAUUAUGAACCAUGAAUAAGUUUAGCUCCAACCCCAGUUAAGCAGACCUGAGCAGCUGAUCAAGGAUCAGCAGAAACUCUGCAGAACAUUGGACCUUCAGCCCAGGACUGGACACCAGUGUUAGUGUCUGUCUCAGAAGCUGAAGAAAAAAGGCCACACCUUAUAGGAAAUAAACGCCUCCUAAGUGUACGGAAAUACCUGGCUGAGGAGAUCAGUGACAUAAACCAGAUAAAACUGCCAGUGGUAAGGGUUUACAUAUCCAUAUCCGAAUGGAAUUGCUACAACUUCUUAUCUAAUAUGACUCGAAGUCUGAGACAGCUACAAGCCACAAAAACAGUUCAUAGUUCCUGCAUUUCUAUUAAUGCAUUAAUGAAUAACAAUAAUUAAAAUAAAAUGUAAUGUCAAGGUUUUGUGUUAAUUCCAGCUAUGUUGAGUAUUCUGUGAAUAAUUUUGAUUUUAGGUGCAUAUUCUUAAUUCUUUGCAAAACAACCUGAACUGUUUGCUAUUGAAAGGUUGGUAUGAAGUUUAAAUAAAUAAAAAAAUUAUAUUCUUGACACAACCUGUGUACAGUUUGUAUUAAUAAUUUAA